GAUGAACGCUGGCGGCGUGCUUAACACAUGCAAGUCGAACGAUGAAGCCCAGCUUGCUGGGUGGAUUAGUGGCGAACGGGUGAGUAACACGUGAGUAACCUGCCCUUAACUCUGGGAUAAGCCUGGGAAACUGGGUCUAAUACCGGAUAGGAGCGCCUACCGCAUGGUGGGUGUUGGAAAGAUUUAUCGGUUUUGGAUGGACUCGCGGCCUAUCAGCUUGUUGGUGAGGUAAUGGCUCACCAAGGCGACGACGGGUAGCCGGCCUGAGAGGGUGACCGGCCACACUGGGACUGAGACACGGCCCAGACUCCUACGGGAGGCAGCAGUGGGGAAUAUUGCACAAUGGGCGAAAGCCUGGUGCAGCGACGCCGCGUGAGGGAUGACGGCCUUCGGGUUGUAAACCUCUUUCAGUAGGGAAGAAGCGAAAGUGACGGUACCUGCAGAAGAAGCACCGGCUAACUACGUG
rnacentral:rRNA from 1 species